rnacentral:rRNA from 1 species
GACGAACGCUGGCGGCGUGCUUAACACAUGCAAGUCGAACGAUGAAGCAGGAGCUUGCUCCGGUGGAUUAGUGGCGAACGGGGGAGUAACACGUGAGCAAUCUGCCCUUGACUCUGGGAUAACCUCCGGAAACUGGAGCUAAUACCGGAUACUUUCACUGGAAGGAAUCUUCUGGUGCAGCAAGAAUUUCGGUCAAGGAUGAGCUCGCGGCCUAUCAGCUUGUUGGUGAGGUAACGGCUCACCAAGGCGACGACGGGUAGCCGGCCUGGGAGGGUGACCGGCCACACUGCGACUGAGACACGGCCCAGACUCGUACGGGAGGCAGCAGUGGGGAAUAUUGCACAAUGGGCGCAAGCCUGAUGCAGCAACGCCGCGUGAGGGAUGAAGGCCUUCGGGUUGUAAACCUCUUUUAGCAGGGAAGAAGCGAAAGUGACGGUACCUGCAGAAAAAGCACCGGCUAACUACGUGCCAGCCGCCGCCGUAA